rnacentral:rRNA from 1 species
UACAGAGGGUGCGAGCGUUAAUCGGAAUUACUGGGCGUAAAGCGUGCGCAGGCGGUUUUGUAAGCCAGAUGUGAAAGCCCCGGGCUUAACCUGGGAAUGGCCAUGGAAACUGGCGAGCUGGAGUGUGGCAGAGGGGGUGGAAUUCCGCGUGUAGCAGUGAAAUGCGUAGAGAUGCGGAGGAACACCGAUGGCGAAGGCAGCCCCCUGGGUUGACACUGACGCUCAGGCACGAAAGCGUGGGGAGCAAACAGG